UAUCUUUUUGUAUUAAUAUCGACUCAAACCCGUCCUACCAUAUAACUCUAUCCUAAACCCGACUCAAAAAACCGCUGCCCAUAUUUUUA
rnacentral:sRNA from 1 species